rfam:Rattus norvegicus chromosome 13, whole genome shotgun sequence.
GGGGAUUUAGCUCAGUGGUAGAGCGCUUACCUAGUAAGCGCAAGGCCCUGGGUUCGGUCCCCAGCUCCA